CAAGUGACUACGACGGUGGCAUCACAGUUCUUUUUGAACCCGGGAAUCAUCCAGGUUGCUACCUAUAGUCAAAGGCCAAUUCAUCCGGUUCUUUUCAAAUCGAUGGAUACCGAAUGUGAAGAGCUGACCGUUACAAGUGUUCCAAAUAUUUAUAUGCGUAUGGUUGAUGGAGUUGACGUGGGAACAAAAUUCAUCAUUGAGGCUACGGUGAUUGGUUUCGAUUUAUCAAGGGGUUGGAAUUACCUACAAUGCACAAAAUGCU